GACUAGGUAAACAGUGGUAGUAGUCUUUAAUGAUUUACUAGACUAGGUAAACAGUGGUAGUAGUAUUUAAUGAUUUACUAGACUAGGUAAACAGUGGUAGUAGUCUUUAAUGAUUUACUAGACUAGGUAAACAGUGGUAGUAGUAUUUAAUGAUUUACUAGACUAGGUAAACAGUGGUAGUAGUCUUUAAUGAUUUACUAGACUAGGUAAACAGUGGUAGUAGUCUUUAAUGAUGUAAUGAUUUACUAGACUAGGUAAACAGUGGUAGUAGUCUUUAAUGAUUUACUAGACUAG